GGGCGUGUGGCUCAGUUGGUAGAGCGUUCGCUUAGCAUCUCAUCGUCCCUCACAGACGAUCUUCCGAUGCGAAAGGUCCUGGGUUCGAUUCCCAGCCCGUCCA